rnacentral:Y_RNA from 1 species
GGUUGAUCCAAGUACAGUGGUGCUUACAACUAAUUGAUCACAACCAGUUACAGAUUACUUUGUUUCUUCUCCACUCCCACUGCCCCUCUUGACCAGCCUUUA